AAGAGUAAAACCACUUUUCGUGUCCCCCGGUGAAUUGACGAAAUUACCCCCAGCCUUUCACUCUCGCACAAUCACAUACGGAGUAGCUCUCUUUCUCUCUCCUAGGUCUUCGGCAUCCCUGCUCCCUCCCGUUUUCUCUCUCCUUCCUCUUCAUCUUCUUCGAUCUUCUUCCUCUAAUCCUCUUCCACCGAACCCCAUCCUCCAUUCUAAACCCUAAUAUUUCGUGUCUCUUUCACAGGACACGCAGACUCUCUCCUCCACCCAUCGCCAUCGCCAUCGCCGGUUCUUUCGAUUUCAAUUAAUGAGAAUUGGCCACUGCACUCCGCCGUUGUCUCCGCCCUGAGCAGUUCCGCUCUUUUCCUGCCUUCAAAUCGAUCUGAUUGUUGAAUCCAAAUUGAAAUUCAGCCCUUUUCUUCCUAAAACGUUGUGGGUUUCUAUUAAUUCUCGACACAAAAUCUUGGAAACCAAUAAAUUUCUCACCUGGUGUAAUCAUUUUAAGGUCAUUUGAAGAAGAGGAGAGUGUGGUGGAGGAGGAAAGUGAUUCCGACGAUGGUGGGUUAAAGGUGUUUUUUCCGAUUUUGGGAUAUCCUGGAAAUUCGUUUUUAUUUGGGCAAUAAUGCCAAGUUCUUGAAAAAGGUAAUUCUUAUUUCUUUAAUCUUCAGAUGAUUAAAUUUCAUAUUUUCACAGUUAUUAUGAGAUCUGGAGAUUUUGUUGAUCAUGUGCUCUUUCUGAUUUUGGUUUGGAUUUCUUAACAAGCUCUUCAAUAAUCAAAUGGUAUUACAUCUGACCUAAUUUCAGUUUCGAUUUUAUUAUAUUUUUGUGUAAUAUUUCUGUAUUUCGAUAGGAUUUUGAAACCUGUAAUGGAAUUGAGGAAGUUGCUGCAAUUAUUAGAGACAAACAAGAAUGUCGAAGAACUCUUUCUUCUGAUCUCAACGACCAUGUCUCCUUUUAUUUAUUUUCUGCUUAAUUAUGGAUUAAUUCAGCAAUUAAUUACAUUUAAUAAUUGUUUUUUUUUGUUAUUCGAUUAUCUUUAGCAGGUGCUGGUUGAAGGAAAUUCGCAUAGUCGUACUACUGUUUUCUGGCUUGAAUAAACAGGACUACGGGUAUUAUGGGCAAGAAACAAGGGGAAGUAGAAAAGGGGCAGAGGAGAUAUGAUAAUGGUAGUGGGGACUUUUAUACAGAGCCAUCAAUGUAGCGGGUGAUUCCAUCUCGAAUUUCAAAGAAAAACAAGGGCCAGAUAUCACCGAACGAGUUCAUCCCCGGGCUUUUGGAUCUUCACUCUCAUGAUGCUGAACUUCUCACUGAGAUUUAUUGUUGAAGGUUCAGAACUCGAUCGUCGGCAACUGGAGUAGUCGAUCUUUAUUAGUCGUAGAGCAGUCGAUCGAUCUGCAGCAGCAUACCAAAACUCAGUAGCAGUGCAUUGUAUCGCAUAUGCUGCAUACCAAAGGCCAAAGAUUGGCAUACAACUGGAUUAGGUUUGGAUGAAAAUUUUCUGUUGGAAUUUUUACUGUUAUGAGAACGAUAUGUUGGACAAUAUUGAUGUAGAUGUGAUUAUACAUUUUGCAUCUCAAAAUUCUAGACAAAAUCGAUUUUUAUGAUUUAUAAUAGGAGUUGAAUGAAGA